rnacentral:rRNA from 1 species
UACGUAGGGCGCAAGCGUUAUCCGGAAUUAUUGGGCGUAAAGAGCUCGUAGGCGGUUUGUCGCGUCUGCCGUGAAAAUCCGGGGCUCAACCCGGACUUGCAGUGGGUACGGGCAGACUAGAGUGUGGUAGGGGAGACUGGAAUUCCUGGUGUAGCGGUGGAAUGCGCAGAUAUCAGGAGGAACACCGAUGGCGAAGGCAGGUCUCUGGGCCACUACUGACGCUGAGAAGCGAAAGCAUGGGGAGCGAAACAGG